CUUCAAGAAGAGGAGCGUGAGCGCAGAGACAACUACAUGCCAGAGAUCUCCACUGUUGAUCCAUCUCAACUCACCUCCAUCAAGG
rnacentral:sRNA from 1 species